rnacentral:rRNA from 1 species
UACGGAGGGAGCUAGCGUUGUUCGGAAUUACUGGGCGUAAGCGCACGUAGGCGGCUUUGUAAGUUAGAGGUGAAAGCCCGGGGCUCAACUCCGGAAUUGCCUUUAAGACUGCAUCGCUUGAAUCCGGGAGAGGUGAGUGGAAUUCCGAGUGUAGAGGUGAAAUUCGUAGAUAUUCGGAAGAACACCAGUGGCGAAGGCGGCUCACUGGACCGGUAUUGACGCUGAGGUGCGAAAGCGUGGGGAGCAACAGG